CAAAGAAUAGUUUAAAUAAAAUAAUAAUUUUGGAGAUUAUCGAUAAAGAUAUACUUUUUCUUUGA
rnacentral:tRNA from 1 species